AAUAUUGUACAAUGGGCGAAAGCCUGAUCCAGACAUGCCGCGUGUGUGAAGAAGGUCUUCGGUUUGUAACACACUUUAAGUUGGGAGGCAGGGCAGUAAUUUAUUACCUUGCUGUUUUUACGUUACCGACAUAAUAAGCACCGACUCACUUCCUUCCUGCAGCCGUGGUAAUACGAAGGGUUCAAGCGUUAAGCGGAAUUACUGGACUUAAAGCGCGCGUAGGUGGUUUGUUAAGUUGGAAGUGAGAGCCCCGGGCUCAACCUGGGAACUGCGUUCAAAACUGGCAAGCUAGAGUAUGGCAGAGGGUGGUGGAAUUGCCUGUGUAGCGGUGAAAUGCGUAGAUAUAGGAAGGAAAACCAGUGGCGAAGGCGACCACCUGGGCUAAUACUGACACUGAGGUGCGAAAGCGUGGGGAGCAAACAGG
rnacentral:rRNA from 1 species